GAGCGAAACCGGCCGCGCAUCUGAGUGUUGGCCUGUUCGGUCACCCGUUUGCCUAUUUUUCUAUUUUUGGAUUUACCCUGGUUUCGUGGGCUCCCGGCAAAUUAUUGCGCCCCUUCUGAACUUCGGCAUGACACCACUGCACUAUUGGACUGCGGCAAGGAGGCACGGUCGCCGGUCCUGUCGUGACUCGGCGAAAAUAGCUCGGCCAUGGUGACAGUUCGUUUGGCGCGUACUGAAUCUCACUGCGACAGGGCAUUGAAUAAGAACGUGCAGGACUGUGAGGUUCUGGCCGCACUUACCACAAAUGGGAGGAUGCCCCCCAGUCAAGAGGAUGGACUCCAGGGCUGAAGCCUGCCUGUAUGCAGCCUCCCUGUGCAGCCUAGCCUCGGUCGCCAGCUGUUCCAGGGCCACGGCCUGGCGGGUGGCCGCAUCCCGGAGCUCCGGAAUCAGCUGGAAACGGAAGAAAUACGUCGCCAUUGUCACCUCGGAAUUCUUCACAACCGACACUUUGCUGGAGCUUCUGCGUAUGCAGAGUCUCAGCGUGCACAACACUUUUCUCCCCGCUGAAAAUCCACCGACCCAGCGGCAUCCGUCAAUGGUGCCGAGUUCAGCGCACAACCAAUUCCCAUUGUUUGGACAGACCAUAGUGGUGCCGGAAUUCAUUUUCUGCCACCUCCUUAAACGCAUCUCACACCUCCAAGCACCUCUUCGUAAGAAGAAACCAAACAGCCCUUUUCAGGACUAUGCACCAGUUUGCCUGGCGGACGGUUGUGCAGUAUCAGCGAUUCUCUGUCCUAUAUACUGCUCCAGCAUGCAAAACAUACCCCAACCAAUGAUCGAAGAAGGCGUGCAGAUGUGACGUUAUAAUUUCAAAAAUGUACAUUUGUGCUUGGUGAGUAUGCUAAGAAUUUCGUUCCUUACAUACUUAGGUUUCUUUUUCUGAAGAAGCCUGCAGAUAGUGUAUGUUUGGUACAAAUUAAUUUUGAAGAAAAUACCUAAUAGAAAGACGCUCCAUCGAAUAUUGUAAGAUAGCAAAUAUUCGUCCAUAAUGUUUCUUAUUUUCCAUUUGCCCACAUUCGCCAUAAAGGUUUUGUUUAAUUUCAAGGCAGAAUAGCUGUUUAUUGCACUUCGAAGUUAUUAAAAAAAUUUCGCGGCAACAUCCAUUUGCAUCCUAUCUCUUUUUGAGAUAUAUCCGCAGUGCACAGAAAUAGUAUCCACGAACCGUAGCCGCCGGCGGCACUUGGCGACGCCUUUGGCGUUGUGGUGCUGAAAGCAAACAACUUGUGCUAUUUUUUCAGAGCAGAAGCCUAUGUAGCUCAUGUUUAAAAGGACUGACACAGUAAAAAGCAUCACAUGCCGAUGGCUGAUUCCAUUAAACUGUUGAUAUUGGUACAGCUAACAGGACAAGGUGACUCCAACUUACGAACUGGGCACUCAGGCACUCCUCGGCCACACCAUCGGCACCGCUUGCAACGCUCUGAAAAG